GAUGAACGCUAGCGGCAGGCCUAACACAUGCAAGUCGAGGGGCAGCACAGGUAGCAAUACUGGGUGGCGACCGGCGGAUGGGUGCGUAACGCGUAUGCAACCUACCAUUGAUUGGGGCAUAGCCCGAAGAAAUUCGGAUUAAUACUCCAUAAUAUUCAUCAAAGGCAUCUUUUAUGAAUUAAAGCUUUUGCGAUCAAUGAUGGGCAUGCGUGACAUUAGUUAGUUGGUGAGGUAACGGCUCACCAAAACGAUGAUGUCUAGGGGUUCUGAGAGGAUUAUCCCCCACACUGGUACUGAGACACGGACCAGACUCCUACGGGAGGCAGCAGUGAGGAAUAUUGGUCAAUGGACGCAAGUCUGAACCAGCCAUGCCGCGUGCAGGAUGACGGCCCUAUGGGUUGUAAACUGCUUUUCCACGGAAGAACCCUCCGACGUGUCGGAGACUGACGGUACCGUGGGAACUAAGCAUCGGCUAACUCCGUGCC
rnacentral:rRNA from 1 species